rnacentral:rRNA from 1 species
GACAGAGGUUGCAAACGUUGUUCGGAAUUACUGGGCAUAAAGCGCACGUAGGCGGCUACCUAAGUAGGAUGUGAAAGCCCCUGGCUUAACUGGGGAAGUGCACCCGAAACUGGGUAGCUAGAGUGCAAAAGAGGGUCGCGGAAUUCCCGGUGUAGAGGUGAAAUUCGUAGAUAUCGGGAGGAACACCGGUGGCGAAGGCGGCGACCUGGGUUGACACUGACGCUGAGGCGCGAAAGCGUGGGGAGCAAACAGG